UCGAGAGAGUGAAAAAUGAAGGAAAAAAGAAAGGAAACUUAGGAAAGUGAGGGGCGAGAUAGUGAGAUAGAGUACUCAGAGUCAGAGAGAGAGACCCAAGCCAUGACACUGCCGCUCACGCCCACGCUUGUGAGACCCAUCUUGCUACCCAAUACCCACACCGACGCCACCAUCAUCACGCGAGAGUCUCAGCUGUCGCCGUCGCCCACGCGAGACCCAUCUUGCCACUGCCACCGAUUGCUCGAUCUACCCAACCCAGCUUCGUUGUUCCAGCCUUCACAGUUCACAGGUGACAAGAACAAGAACACGGACACUUGAGCUCCUUUUGUACAACUCUCUCGCGUCUACUGUUUCUAGGGAAAUUUUCCUCUUAUUAAGGUGGAAUUAUUGUGAAAUGAAGAAGGCUUGAUAGAAUUUGUGUCAAGUAAAGAUUGCUGGGCUUCGAAGACGAAGACGACGAUAGCUCGGCGGAGAUCUCGCACGCCACGGAUUGAGUUCGAUCGGUGAGUUUGGCUGGCGAGUGAGUUAGGAACACCAAUUAGCCUCUCCGAUCCAACAAUUCGUUUGGAAACGAGACGGUGACGGAGAAUUGAUCGGACAUGGAGGGCGAAGCUCGUUACUACUUGGACAGCUCCAACGCCUCCAUCGGUGCCAUGGGGUUUUUGUGUGGGGCCGAGGUCUCGAACUCCAGCUUCGCCGAGGUCUCGAACUCCAGCUUCGCCGAGGAUCGAGACAAUGAGAGUCGUUGAUGAUGGGGUUUAGGGGUCUCGAUUUUCUAUGGGGUUUGGAUUUACUGUUUGGAAUUUCUAUUUGGAUUUUCUGUGGGGUGAUGGUGGUUGAUGAUUGUGGGUUGAUGGUGGUGGGUGGGUGGCUAGGUUUGAUGGUGGUGGUUGGGUGGCUGAUGGCUAGGUGUCGGUGAUUUUGGGUUUGUGUUAGGUCUGUGAGAGGGUUCUAGAGAGGAGGAGAAGGAAAUAAUAAAAAAUGUAAAAAGAAUGAAUAUUUUAUUGAAUGGAUAUGUAGAAUAG